rnacentral:rRNA from 1 species
GACGAACGCUGGCGGCGUGCUUAACACAUGCAAGUCGCACGGGACCCGCAAGGGUUCAGUGGCGGACGGGUGCGUAACACGUGAGGAACAUGCCUAUCGGCGGGGGAUAGCCGGCCCAACGGCCGGGUAAUACCGCGUACGCUCAUCCGGGGGCAUCCCCGGGUGAGGAAAGCAGCAAUGCACCGAUAGAGUGCCUCGCGGCCUAUCAGCUAGUUGGUGGGGUAAUGGCUCACCAAGGCGACGACGGGUAGCUGGUCUGAGAGGAUGAUCAGCCACAUUGGGACUGAGACACGGCCCAGACUCCUACGGGAGGCAGCAGUGGGGAAUCUUGCGCAAUGGCCGAAAGGCUGACGCAGCGACGCCGCGUGUGGGAUGACGGCCUCGGUUGUAA